rnacentral:tRNA from 1 species
UAAGGGUUUAUCUUAAUUAAAGUGUCUGGGUUGCAUUCAAAAUAUGUAAAAAAAAGUCUUGCAAAUCUUA